UUUCUAAUGCCUUCAGUUUUGCCUUUCUAGGGUGUGCUGACCCUGACGAUUAAUGAACGAUUCAACAUUGAUGGUGGAUAUAUUGGAAUAAUAGAGUGGAUAUUUGGUAAGAGAGAUGUGAAGUGGACAAGUUUUCUUUCACGUGAUGUACUUGAAACUGCUACAAGUUAUAAGCAAGCUCUUGACAUGUUGGCAAAUGAGGAGGUACUAGCACCAGUCUAUUAUAUUCUUGGGGGAACUAAAUCAGGGGAGGUAAGUCAUAAUAAUUCUUA